UAAUCAAACCAGGCACCAAAAUGCUAACACUCCUUCCUGGAGAAAGAAAGGCUAAUAUUUGUUUUACUCAAAGAAGAGCUCCAUCUACAGGCAUUCACCAGAGAAGCAUUGCUUCUUUCUUCACCUUGCAGCCAGAUGUGUGAGCUUUUUAAUCUCUGGCUGAUCUUAACCCACUUCAGCCUAAGCUUGGGAUGAUUACUCUUGACUCUUUUUUUUAGUGAUUAGCAAAUCUCCCCACAACCCAGGUGUGAAGAGAAGAGAAGUAGAAUGGCACUAGUUUCUUAUUUUUGUGGUAACUGUACAGCACUUUAAAGUUAUAUACUCUAUGUUUAAAUAUCUCCCUUAAAAAGCCUGAGCUAUAUAACAAUCUGGAUGUGACUGUGUUACCCUUUUCCCACAAGAUAGGAGGGAAUCCCCUUUGUAAAACUAUGAACCCAAAUAAAUGUUUACAGAGUG
rnacentral:sRNA from 1 species